CUAUCAUGCAUGUAAGAUGUGACUUUCUCCUCCUUGCUUUCCGCCAUGAUUGUGAGGCUUCCCCAGCCACGUGGAACUGAGUUGUUGUAAGGAUUCUGUGAUACCGACUCCAGCACACCUGGCAUAUUAGACCACCUGACUUUCAACAUGGAAACUUCUGUUUCCCUGAAAUUAAGAUGGCAGUAUCACACAGAAGUGAAGGAAUAACGAACAAGAAACGUGAAAAGCUGAUGUUGUUUUCAGUUAAAGAGAUGAGGAGAAAAGAGAAGCCAGAGACAUAUAUGCUGGCAAAGAAUAAUCCACUCCAAAAUGUCAGCGUUGUCCAGGAUGAGGCAGUCUGAUCAACACAAAUGCAGUGAACAAGAGCAACUUUAAGAAAAUUGGAAUGUAAGGACCCUGGAAAUGUGGAGAAAAAAUUAUAUUUUCUAUGUAAAGAAUUUAUAAGUUUAGGUGUUUAAUGAAUGAUAGUGAUAAAGUAAUAUCACUAAUGAUGUUGGUGAUGAUGAUGAUGAUGAUGACAGUUGUAUAUACAGGAAGAAAGUAUGAGAGUGAAGAAGAGUGGCUAUGAGUUGACAAAAGGCUUCUAUACUCACAGACACUGGGUAGGUCUCAUUUCAACUGGCAGAUAUGACUUGGCUGUCAAGUCCUAUUACUCUUAGAAAACUCUAUGUCCACUGUCAGUCUAACUCAAAUGUUUGUCUCAUACGAUAUCCAGAGUUCCAAAUUCUUCUUUUCCUCAGGUCGCUGAGAAAUAAGAUCACCAUGGCUGGUGAAAUUUUUAAUGGCAAUCUUGAUUGGUAUUGUGAGAAAAAUUAGUGACAUUUAUUAUUAAAAAUUAGUCUAUCAAUGUAUGAUUGAUGAGGUAGACAGAAAUAUCCUACAUUUAUAUUGUGCUCUCCGGUUUUCAAAUAUUAUGUAUAAGUAUUAUUUCACUUGGACCUCACCCUAUGCUGAAUUAUGCAUAGAAGUUAUUUUCCAAAUUAUUUUCAUUUAAUGAGAAACUCAUCUGGUUGUUGAUUUGUCUUUUACUAUUUUACAAAAUAUUGGACUUGCAGCUAAAAUCUGGAAUAUAAGAUCCUUGACUAGGUAGGUUUCUUUGUAACUAUCCUAAAUAUCUUUUUAAUGAUGCAAUAAUAACAGUCUGUAUUUUAUUUGAGAGUGUUUAAAGGUUUUAAAAAAAUAUAGUUAACUUCUGCCUAAUUUAAUUUUAAUAAAGUUUUUUAAAAUAAAUUGAGGAAUAGCAUAUAUACAAAAAUGACAGAAAGCCUAAGUGAACAAAUAAGAUUUUUACAAAAUUAAACACAGUGUAACCUUUGCUAAUCAAGAAACAAAUUACCAGUCCCAACAAAUCUCUGCUUUGCUCCCUUCUAAUCACUCUCUUCAAGGCUUAUUUUAAAGGACGUAAAAUUUACAUUCAAUAAAAUUUAUUUUCUAAUUUUUCAAUCCAUGAGGUUCAGUAAUUUUAUAUACCAGUGUAGUAGUGUUUACCAUUGCCCAAACAAGACAUAGAACAUUUCCAUCAAACCAAAAAUUUCUUCAGGUACCUUUCCAAUCAAUACCCCUCCCAUUUACAUAACCACUUUUUAACUUAUAUAAUCAUAGAUUUUAUUCUUGGUCUUUCACUUUAUGUGAACGGAAUAACACUAUAUGUUUUGUACGUAUGUAUGUAUUUGUGCAUGCUCAACAUAGUAUUUUUGUUUCACUCAUUUUGUUGCAACAGUAAGUAGUUUGUUCCAUUUCUAUUGAUGAAAUCAAUUGUAUGAAUGUACUACAAUUUGUUUAGUCUCGGAUGGACACAUGGAUUAUGUUCAGUUUUAGGUUUUUAUAAAAAAAGAUUGUUAUGAACAUUCUUUUACAUAAGUUUUAGUGAACAUAUACAUUCAUAUAUCAUGGACAAAUGUCUCGAAGUGUAACUGUUGUGGGUAGAGGCAUCCCAAGGCUGCCGGGUAUUCUUAACAGUAAUAAUAUGUCUAAAGGAAAAUCAAUACAGAAGUAGAUGUAAUUAUUCUGUUUUGUACCAUAAGCAAAGCCGUAAUUUAAGCAAUGUAGUAAGGAAGUUUUUUUUGUUGUUUUGUUUUCUAACAGUGAUUCUUUUUUCAGAUACUGAGAAUUUUCAAAAACAUGCAGUUAACAAUAACAAGAUUACAGAUUCUCAUUAUUUGUCUUAAAUUAAAAUACAGAUGAAAAAUUAGCGCUUCUUAACUCCUUUGGAUGAAAAAUAAGUUAUUAAUUUUUAUGGGUACAUAGUAGGUCUAAAUAUGUAUGGGGUACAUGAGAUAUUUUGAUACAGGCCCACAAUGUGUAAUAAGCACAUCAGAGUAAAUGGGGUAUUGGAUACCUUAUGCAUUUAUCAUUUCUUCCUGUUACAUACAUUCCAAUUGUACUCUUUCAGCUAUUUUUAAAUGUACAAUAAGCUAUUGUUUACUCUAGUCACACUGUUGUGCUAUCUAAUGCUAGAUCUUAUUCAUUCUAACCAUAUUUUUGUGCUCAUUAACCAUCCCACUUCUCCAACUCCCAAAUAGCCUUCCCCGCCUCUGGUAACCAUCAUUCUACAUCUAUUUCCAUGAGUUUAAUUGUUUAAAUUUUUAGCUCUCACAAAUGAGCAAGAAAACACAAAGUUUGUCUUUCUGUGCCUGCCUUUUUCCAAUUGCCGUAGUAUCCUCUAGUUCCAUCCAUGUUGUUGCAAAUAACAGGAUCUCAUUCUUUUUAUGGCUGAACUGAAUAGUACUCCAUUGUGUAUAUGUAUCUCAUUUUUAAAUCCAUUAAUCUGUUAAUGGACAUUUAGAUUAAUUACAAAUCUUGUCUAUUGUGAAUAGUGCUGCAAUAAACAUAGAUGUG
rnacentral:lncRNA from 10 species